rnacentral:tRNA from 1 species
GGGAAGAAAGCAAAAUAUGCGGUUAACUUGAAAUUAACAGGUGGCAGGUUAAAUCUGUCUCUUCUCG